UACGUAGGGUGCAAGCGUUGUCCGGAAUUAUUGGGCGUAAAGAGCUCGUAGGCGGUUUGUUGCGUCGGCUGUGAAAUCCCGAGGCUCAACCUCGGGUCCGCAGUCGAUACGAGCAAACUAGAGUGUUGCAGGGGAGACUGGAAUUCCUGGUGUAGCGGUGAAAUGCGCAGAUAGUCAGGAGGAACACCGGUGGCGAAGGCGGGUCUCUGGGCAACAACAUGACGCUGGGAGGAGCGGAAAGCGUCGGGGAGCGAACAGG
rnacentral:rRNA from 1 species